GUAGGUGGCAAGCGUUGUCCGGAAUUAUUGGGGCGUAAAGCGCGCGCAGGCGGUUCUUUAAGUCUGAUGUGAAAGCCCACGGGCUCAACCGUGGAGGGUCAUUGGAAACUGGAGGACUUGAGUACAGAAGAGGAAAGCGGAAUUCCACGUGUAGCGGUGAAAUGCGUAGAGAUGUGGAGGAACACCAGUGGCGAAGGCGGCUUUCUGGUCUGUAACUGACGCUGAGGCGCGAAAGCGUGGGGAGCAAACAGGAUUAGAUACCCUGGUAGUCCACGCCGUAAACGAUGAGUGCUAAGUGUUAGGGGGUUUCCGCCCCUUAGUGCUGCAGCUAACGCAUUAAGCACUCCGCCUGGGGAGUACGGCCGCAAAGGCUGA
rnacentral:rRNA from 1 species